rnacentral:rRNA from 1 species
CCUACGGGUGGCAGCAGUGGGGAAUAUUGCACAAUGGGCGCAAGCCUGAUGCAGCCAUGCCGCGUGUGUGAAGAAGGCCUUCGGGUUGUAAAGCACUUUCAGCGGGGAGGAAGGCGGUGAGGUUAAUAACCUCAUCGAUUGACGUUACCCGCAGAAGAAGCACCGGCUAACUCCGUGCCAGCAGCCGCGGUAAUACGGAGGGUGCAAGCGUUAAUCGGAAUCACUGGGCGUAAAGCGCACGCAGGCGGUCUGUCAAGUCGGAUGUGAAAUCCCCGGGCUCAACCUGGGAACUGCAUUCGAAACUGGCAGGCUAGAGUCUUGUAGAGGGGGGUAGAAUUCCAGGUGUAGCGGUGAAAUGCGUAGAGAUCUGGAGGAAUACCGGUGGCGAAGGCGGCCCCCUGGACAAAGACUGACGCUCAGGUGCGAAAGCGUGGGGAGCAAACAGGAUUAGAUACCCUUGUAGUC